rnacentral:lncRNA from 1 species
UUUGUUUUUUUUUAAUUUGACCCCGUGUUUUUACACCUAUUUCAUUUCAGUCCUGCAUGAAACGGUGCGCUCUAAUGGACUGGGGAUAAUUUCCCAUAUAGUCCUCGCGUUUCUGCAGCGCGUUACAAUUUGCCUCUCUUUUAGUUUUUUUUUCUUUUAUUUCAAUUUGACCGUUUAACUUUUUUUUUGUUCCAUUUUAGUCCUGUGAAGUGCUGCGUUUUGGGAGGUGGGGAUAUUUUCCCCUUUAGUCCUUCCUUGUUAUUCGCACACUCAAUUCGGUCCUUUCCUUUUAAAUUAUUUACAGAUCUACCCCCCGAAUUUCUGUUUCAAAAC